GACAGAGGGGGCAAGCGUUGUUCGGAUUUACUGGGCGUAAAGGGCGCGUAGGCGGCGCAACAAGUCACUUGUGAAAUCUCCGGGCUUAACCCGGAGCGGUCAAGUGAUACUGUCGUGCUAGAGUGCGGAAGGGGGCUACUGGAAUUCUCGGUGUAGCGGUGAAAUGCGUAGAGAUCGGGAAGAACAUCGGUGGCGAAAGCGCUCUACUGGACCGCAACUGACACUCAGGGACGAAAGCUAGGGGAGCGAAUGGG
rnacentral:rRNA from 1 species